GGCCGAAUAGCUCAGUGGUAAGAGCAGUCGCCCGGCAAGCGAAAGACUCGGGGUCGAUUCCCGACUCAGCGA
rnacentral:tRNA from 1 species